rnacentral:rRNA from 1 species
UACGUAGGGUGCAAGCGUUAAUCGGAAUUACUGGGCGUAAAGCGUGCGCAGGCGGUUGGGCAAGACAGAUGUGAAAUCCCCGGGCUCAACCUGGGAACUGCAUUUGUGACUGCCCGGCUAGAGUGUGUCAGAGGGGGGUAGAAUUCCACGUGUAGCAGUGAAAUGCGUAGAGAUGUGGAGGAAUACCGAUGGCGAAGGCAAUCCCCUGGACCUGUACUGACGCUCAUGCACGAAAGCGUGGGGAGCAAACAGG